rnacentral:lncRNA from 1 species
GGGGUCUUCAGCUUUCUCACUUUCAAAUGCAGUAAAUGCAGUGAGAAGGUAGAGGAAAGUAGUUCCAUAAAUCAAAGGAAUUUGAAUUAUCUUCAAUCUUGUACACAUCAAGUAUGAUUUCCAAUGAAACAUUCACGUACAAAACAUUUCCGCUGACACAUGUGCUAGGAUGAAUAUAAAUUGGAAGGCAAACCCACCGAGACUACUUACCCCUUUCUUCUUUUACAGUUAAUCACUUCUAUUUUGAACCAACUGCAGGUAAAUCUUAUUUUCAUAAACAACAAAGUCACUAAGUGAACUCUGGUUAGUAUUUAACUUUUUUUUUCCCCUUAUUUUUCUAGGGCUUCCUUGGGGUAAGAUUUUAUUUCUGGUUCUAUUGAUAAAGGUGACAUCCAUUGUCAGGGAAGGGGGAGAAUAACUCCUCUAAAUCAACCCAAUGCCUUAAGCCAAUCACAGUGCAUGGUGUUAUGAAUUCAGUUCCCAGACCUUUAAGAUCAGAAUCUCUGCAUCUCUAACAGUAAGUAUCUUUUCACAAGGCAGGUUUCACAAGGUUUAAGAUUGUAGACAUCAGCACAACCUUAGGUCGUGAACUCUCAGGUACUUACAUUUACCUUGGGCUUGCUUCCGGCGACUGGACAACUCACAGCAGCAGACUGAGGAAAGCCUACUGUAAAAUUACCAAACACAGCCAUGGUCUGACCUCAAGGCAAUGCCCAAACCCAAUUUUAAGGGGGAAAAGUGUGUUUUCACCCACCAGCCUUCCUAGUAAUAAGUUUCACUGCUCUGGAAUAUUACUCAUACUUUUUAUUUACCACUAUGAAGACUCCCCUCUGUCAGGCCUCCACACACCAUGUGGAAGAAACUACCUUCUAUUUAAUACAAGAUCCUUAGGGCUUCAGUUUCUUGGCAUUCACAGAUCACCAAAGCACAAAGCCAGUCGCCCGAUCACACCAGUAUUUCAACAUCAACAACAAAAGAAUCCUAAGAUGGGAGAGGCUGAGGGGAGGUGGGAGAGGAAAUGAAAAUGUCUCAGAUCCUCACAGUAAAUGAAUGUACUGUCUACCUCAACAGAGAUAAGCUUCACUACUACAUCAGAAGGCUCGCACAGUGAGUACAAUCUCCAAAAAACAUCUUUCACCAAUGAAUAUGUAAAUUAGACAUUUCAAUUUUUUUUAUCAUUAAGAGUUUUGCUACCACAGAUGGUGUCUCUGUUAGAAAAUUAACACCACGAUAAAAGCAAUUCAGAAGACCAAUAUAACUACACAGGGUGUGCUUCUCUAAGGAUGUCCUGAAACUAUUUAAGUGGGCUGGGCAGUGGCUCAAUGGGAAGACCACUCGCCCAAUAUGUGGAAGGCCCUGGGGUCCACCCAUAGCGCCACAAUAUAAUAAAAUAUAAAUUUAUUUAGCAAGACUCCAGAAAUAUCUUAGAGUAUAUAUCAUAGAAGUUCUGAAUAUUUAAAACUUAUCAUUUAAAACCUGAGUGGCCUUGAAAAAUAAAAGAGGGAUUUUUCAAGUUAUGACAUUAAGUAAAAUGAGGAUAUAUUUAUGUUUGAAAUUUUGUCAAAAAUUCAAGAGUGCCUGCCUGUGUUAGACAAACACUCACUGUGGCCGUUAUCCCUAGAUUAAGGAAUUAUGAAACAAAGUGUCUUUGGCCUAAAAUUCCGCAGUUUCAAUAGCACAGGCCAAUCAGAUAGAGCCCUUACACUGUGUACAUCAUGGCUCAUGAAGUCCAGCUUAGGUAACAGAAUUUACAUCACGGCACAUAGUCCAUAUGAGAACCUCCUCAAAGAACAACUCACAGUGGUGUAGAAUACAGCAGACAAGAGUAGGCUCUGGGACUGGGGAGGUGGAAACCAAAUCUUAGCUCAGUCCCUUGGGGGAGAAGAUCUUAAGCCACCAUUCCAAAGCCAACUGCCUCACCUGUGAAAUGCCUGAGGCUGGAGUGGCACUCAAUAAAAGUGGCCUAGCUUUCCUAGUGAUUCUAAAAAAACGCUUCUAAGAGGUGAAAACGUGAUCGAGGACAGGAGGUUGGGGGACAGACCCUCAGCGACCAGACACUCCUGACAGGAAGGCCAGAAGCUAACAGUUUCAAUGCUUCCUCUAUUUCAGGUGGUGCAGGUGUCCAGGUUACCUGCUCUGUUCUCUGCAGCUUGGAACAACGGUCUUACCAUCUUGUAGACUCUAUAGAACGUCCUGUGAAACAUCCAAUACCACAGGCAAAUCUACUAUCUACAGCCAUACAAUCUUAAUAAAAUUCUCCCU